UGACGAGUUUGAUCCUGGCUCAGAUUGAACGCUGGCGGAAUGCUUUACACAUGCAAGUCGAGCGGCAGCGCGGGGGCAACCCUGGCGGCGAGCGGCGAACGGGUGAGUAAUAUAUCGGAACGUGCCCAGUCGUGGGGGAUAACGUAGUGAAAAUUACGCUAAUACCGCAUACGAUCUAAGGAUGAAAGCGGGGGAUCGCAAGACCUCGCGCGAUUGGAGCGGCCGAUAUCAGAUUAGGUAGUUGGUGAGGUAAAGGCUCACCAAGCCAACGAUCUGUAGCUGGUCUGAGAGGACGACCGGCCACACUGGAACUGAGACACGGUCCAGAC
rnacentral:rRNA from 1 species